rnacentral:rRNA from 1 species
UACGUAGGGUGCAAGCGUUGUCCGGAAUUACUGGGCGUAAAGAGCUCGUAGGCGGUUUGUCGCGUCGUCUGUGAAAACUCGAGGCUCAACCUCGAGCUUGCAGGCGAUACGGGCAGACUUGAGUACUGCAGGGGAGACUGGAAUUCCUGGUGUAGCGGUGAAAUGCGCAGAUAUCAGGAGGAACACCGGUGGCGAAGGCGGGUCUCUGGGUAGUAACUGACGCUGAGGAGCGAAAGCGUGGGUAGCGAACAGG